CACAGACAGUCACCAUGUAGGAAGCCAGAGGAGUAAGAAGUCUGGACCAUGUUCUCUGGAACAAGGCUGGCACUGCACGAAGAGAUGCGGCUGUGUCUAAAACAGGGAGGAGCAGAGAGCCACAACCAAUCUUUUUAAAGGUUUCAAAGCGCAUGGAGCAUGGAUUAUGAAGUGAUGUUUAAGCAGAAAAAUGUGUCAUUUGAGAGGACGUUUUGGCAUUCCUGAGGAUACCCUGCUGAUUAAAACCGAGGGAAGAGAAGCUCUGUGCACGACUAAAGACGCAGCUACAGGGCCUAAGCCAUCUUGCUUUUUGCUCUGCUCAUUUUGGCGUUCAGUGUUUUCUUUUUUUUCAAUGCUGUCUGAAAGCUUAAAUUAAAUAACAAUAUGAAAACUAAA